CCCCCGCCCACGGGAGCGCUCAAUUACUAUACCAAAGAAGCCCACAACACCUUUGGCAUCUACUGGUGAUUACUUCGCUGUCGGACAGGUCGUCAUCCGCAUGAGUCGCAAGUGACGUAAUAUUCGCUGUUCUCGCGAAGAGACUCGAACCCUCGACUCCAAGAUUAGAAGUCAGAGUGCUUCUGUUCGCCAACCCAUCAUCGCGGCUUCGAUUGCUUCAAGCUCGGUUUCCAGUAGU
rnacentral:misc_RNA from 1 species